UUUUGUACUCAAAUAGAACUCGUCUUUUGGGAUCUCAAAAGUUGAAAUUCCUCUUUCUAAAAUAAGAACAUGAAAAUACUCGUGUAAAAUUUGCGUCUUGAGAGAGAGAGAGAGAGAGAGCGUGGGAGGAUGCUGCCAUUAAAGCUGGUUCGUUCACUGGUUCUUUCUGAUACCAACCCUCUUCUUCCCCAAAAUCAGUUUUUCUUUAAUCACAAUAAUCACCAUGAAAAUGUUGAUGAUUCUAAUUUCAAUAGCAGCACUAACCCCAAAUCAAGAACCAAAAUCCCAGUAAUGAUUUUCAAUCCCACCCAAGAAUUGGUAAAAGACACGUACAGAUUAGCCAAACUUGCCAGAGAAAUUGGCAUGGAUCUUCAUCCAAACCCAUCUCUCUCACACAUCAUCUUCUCAUGGCCAUCGUGUUCAUGGUCAUUGGGAAACGACGCAGCUCCAUUGCCAUUCCCAUCUCUGACCACAGCUUCCAUGUCCCACUUGCGCCUCUUUGUCAAUCUGUCCAGAGGCUUCUUCAAGCUGGUUUUCUUGAAAAAUAAUCACAGCCCACUUGAAAAAAUCGAGUCUUUGAACAAUAACAACUGGGAUUGCACCUCAAGUUGUUUGUUUUCAAGAGUCACUGGUCAGAGAAUACACUCAAUGAAUGGGUUUUCUAAGGCUUUGCUUGGAAUGGGAUGGACGCUUUUCAAGACUAAUACUAAUAGCCAAUCUUUUCAAGAUUCCAUGGAUAGGCCUCUGUACUUGUAUAGAAAGUUGGGUACGAUUAAAAUGUGUAACAUUAUAAAUCUUCCUAAUGGAAAUGGGGAUGUUGGGGAGUGUUGUAGGGUUAGAGAAUUGAGGUUGCCUCCAUUGGAUUUCAGGAACCUGCCUUUGAGGAUUUUGCAGUACAUUCUUCUGAUGACUGAUGAUGCUUUUUAUCUUGCCUAGACUAAUCAGGUCAGCGUUUCAUAAUUGUUGUUUUUCAGUUUCGUUUCUUUUUAUGUUUAUGGGGCUAAUUGUUGUUCCUGGUAGAAGUAUUUUAGCCUACGAAAAUUUAGCCUUUUUAUUAUUUUAUUUUUUUGGCAUUUUUAAGCAUUAGAUGAAGAAAUUUAAAGUAUUGAAAGUACCACUUGAAUUUGGAACAAUUUGGAGAAUUUCUUCUGAGAUUAUUUAGGCCAAUUGUACUUGGAAUGUCAUUACAAGCAUCUUAUGUAAGAUCUACUUUUCUUUAGUGUUAUAACUUGUGAAGAUUCUUUUCCUCCAUGGAAGGGGCUCCUUGAUGCAGUUGAUUUUUAUACAGAAGAGGACAAUGUUGAAAGUUUAAACCAUGUGAAAAGUUGCAUCAGCAGUUCCAAUCCUAUCUAGUUUUGGAUUCCUCACUCACAAACACGCCUCAAGAAAAUCGCAGCGUUAGUUCAUGAAGUCAAAGAAACGUGUUGGUUUUGAUUGAUAGAAGGAUCAAAAGAUUAUAAUAUUAGAUCUUGAAGAUAAAGUUUAGUACAUCUGGAACAAUCUCACCCUACCAAGCGAGGCUGAGUGGAGGAACAUCAGUAACGCAUCCCACUUUUCACAUUUUUAUUCUUUGCUGUGGGAGCUCUAUGAAGAUAAUCGAGCUCCCUGUGUUGGGGAGGCCUAAAAGAGGCUGAACUGAAAGAAGAAAUAUAUAGUUAGUUUAGAAGGCCGCCUUGUGGUUUUCUUCUGAAAUAUCUGAAAGUUAGAUUGAUAAGGCAACAUGAACACAGUAUUGGAUUGGUUGGAAACUGCAAAAGAUAUUAACAGAAUUUCUGCUGAUGGAUCGACCGAGUCAUUAUUUUGUCCACUCUUACUCUAUAUAUACAUAUUAGAAAAUGAGUUAGGUAAGGGAUUUUUCACAUAUACCUGCUUUCCAACUUUUAUUAUAUUUGAUUCGAUUCAAGAACAAUGGCAGAAAGAGUAGUUGCACUUUCUGAUGGGUAUAUAGGACACAGUCUGUUAUCUUUUUUCUUG
rnacentral:lncRNA from 1 species